GAAUUUUAUAUAAAUUUAAUGAAUAUAUUAAUUUAAAAAUUUGUUAUUUUUAUAUUUUGUUGGGAGGAUAAUUAAAUUAUAGAAACUUUAAAAAUAUGAUUCCAUAGAUAAAUGAAUUAAUAGAUUAAGAAUGGUUAAAAAGUUUAAAUAGAAUUAAUUACCUUAGGGAUAACAGCGUUAUAUCUUUAGAGAGACCUUAUUAAUAGAGAUGUUUGC
rnacentral:rRNA from 1 species